GAAGUCUAACAUGUGCGCGAGUCAUUGGGCUUGAAACCCCAAAGGCGGAAUGAAAGUGAAGGAAGCUUCGCUUUCCUAGGGAGGAUGGACGUGUCUGCCGUCAAGGCGGCGUCCCGCACUCCCGGGGCGUCUCUUUCUCAUUGCGAGUGGAGGCGCACCCAGAGCGUACACGUUAGGACCCGAAAGAUGGUGAACUAUGCCUGGUCAGGACGAAGCCAGGGGAAACCCUGGUGGAGGUCCGUAGCGAUUCUGACGUGCAAAUCGAUCGUCAGAGCUGGGUAUAGGGGCGAAAGACUAAUCGAACCAUCUAGUAGCUGGUUCCCUCCGAAGUUUCCCUCAGGAUAGCUGGUGCCCGUGUGAGACGAGUCUCAUCCGGUAAAGCGAAUGAUUAGAGGCCUUGGGGCCGAAACGACCUCAACCUAUUCUCAAACUUUAAAUAGAUGAGAACUCCGGCUUGCUUGAAAGUGAAGCCGGAGACUCGGAUCAGGUGCCCAGUGGGCCAAUUUUG
rnacentral:rRNA from 1 species